AAGAUGCUCUUUGUGGAGUGAAUCGUUAACUGGGGAGGAGGCCACCUAGAUUCAGUUAUAGAACAUCGUGGAUUAGAUUGUCAUACAUCAAGGAGCCGAGGACCAUUCCCUGGGUAGCGAAGGACUUCACUGGACCUCCAGAAUCUUCUUCAUGGAUAUUCAUUGCGCCUUCAGGACCUGGACUUCCUUUGGAAAGUCCAAACUUCCUUUGGAAAAAAGACUAAGAGGAAUUCUUCCUGAAGUUCCUUGUCUGACUGUGGCCACUGUCUCCCUGGAGAACUGCACUUAUUUCAGAAAGAAGAGAGACUUCUAGAUAAAGCGAGGUGAUGCUGGCUUCAAACCAAAUUAAAAAAAAAAGCUGGAGAUAUGCAAGUUGCUAAACCAGCCCUUCCCUCAGGCUCAAAUCAGAGGACAAUUGGUAACAACCACCUUUCUCUCAUUUGGUUUUGCAGCUCAAACAAAACUGUCACCCUCGCCAAAACCCCUGAAAUACAGAAAUGUGGUAUUAAAACAGUUAUGACUGGAAAAGA
ensembl:lncRNA novel transcript